rnacentral:rRNA from 1 species
CCCUUAGAUGUUCUGGGCCGCACGCGUGCUACACUGAGUGGAUCAGCGGGUCAGGUUGCGCGAAAGCGUUUCCUAAUCUUCAAAUCCGCUCGUGAUGGGGAUUGACGGUUGCAAUUUUCUGUCAUGAACGAGGAAUACCUUGUAAGCGCGGGUCAUCAUCCCGCGCUGAAUACGUCCCUGCCCUUUGUACACACCGCCCGUCGCUCCUACCGAUUGAGUGGUCCGGUGAGGCUUUGGGAUCUGAGCGGAAAGAGCGUUUCGCUGUUUCUGCUCGGAAAACUCAGUCGAACCUUAUCAUUUAGAGGUAGGAGAAGUCGUAACA